AUUCCAGCUCCAAUAGCGUAUAUUAAAGUUGUUGUGGUUAAAAAGCUCGUAGUUGGAUCUUGGAAGGUCGGGGGCGGUGAGGUGAAUAGCCGCACUGCCCCAUUGGCUCUUCUGACAUUGGGCGGCAACCGGCUGGUGCUCUUAACCGAGUGCUAGACAUCGGCGCCGCCAGGUUUACUUUGAAAAAAUUAGAGUGCUUCAAGCAGGCUUCAAACGCCCGAAUACUCGUGCAUGGAAUAAUGGAAUAGGACGUCGUCACUAUUUUGUUGGUUUUCGGAGAUCGACGUAAUGAUUAACAGGGACAGUCGGGGGCAUUGGUAUUGAGGAGCUAGAGGUGAAAUUCUUGGACCUCCUCAAGACCAACCACUGCGAAAGCAUUUGCCAAGAAUGUUUUCAUUA
rnacentral:rRNA from 1 species